rnacentral:rRNA from 1 species
UACGGAGGAUCCAAGCGUUGUCCGGAUUUAUUGGGUUUAAAGGGUGCGUAGGCGGAUCUUUAAGUCAGUGGUGAAAGCCUGCAGCUUAACUGUAGAACAGCCAUUGAAACUGAAGAUCUUGAAUGUGGUUAAAGUAGGCGGAAUGUAUCAUGUAGCGGUGAAAUGCUUAGAUAUGAUACAGAACACCGAUAGCGAAGGCAGCUUGCUGAACCAUUAUUGACGCUGAGGCACGGAAAGCGUGGGGAGCGAACAGG